ACGGAAGGCAGCAGUGAGGAAUAUUGGUCAAUGGGCGAGAGCCUGAACCAGCCAAGUAGCGUGCAGGAUGACGGCCCUAUGGGUUGUAAACUGCUUUUAUGUGGGAAUAAAGUGACGUACGUGUACGUUUUUGCAUGUACCACAUGAAUAAGGACCGGCUAAUUCCGUGCCAGCAGCCGCGGUAAUACGGAAGAUCCGAGCGUUAUCCGGAUUUAUUGGGUUUAAAGGGAGCGUAGGCGGGCCUUUAAGUCAGUGGUCAAAGCGUGUGGCUCAACCAUACCACGCCGUUGAUACUGGAGGCCUUGAGUGCACAUAAGGAUGGUGGAAUUCAUGGUGUAGCGGUGAAAUGCUUAGAUAUCAUGAAGAACUCCGAUUGCGAAGGCAGCUGUCCGGGGUGUAACUGACGCUAAUGCUCGAAAGUGCGGGUAUCAAACAGGAUUAGAUACCCUGGUA
rnacentral:rRNA from 1 species